rnacentral:misc_RNA from 1 species
AGAAGUAAAAGUCGUAACAAGGUCUCCGUUGGUGAACCAGCGGAGGGAUCAUUACAGGAGGAGCGGCCCCCGCGCCGGCAGCCCCCGACCCCAGCGGACAGUGCCCCUCGUCGCCCCGGCGGCGCCCCGCCGCCGGGGCCCUAGCCCCAGCCCCCCUAUGCCGCCGCGGACGAGUCUGACCCAGUGGGCGAGAGCAACUUUGAAAAACCUUUGGCAACGGAUCUCUUGGCUCCG